rnacentral:rRNA from 1 species
GUUGUUGCAGUUAAAAGCUCGUAGUUGAAUUUCGGGGUUAGUAGGUUGGUCAUGCCUCUGGUAUGUACUGGUCUCACUGAUUCCUCCUUCCUUAUGAACCGUAAUGCCAUUAAUUUGGUGUUGCGGGGAAUUUGGACUGUUACUUUGAAAAAAUUAGAGUGUUUAAAGCAAGCUAACGCUUGGAUACAUUAGCAUGGAAUAAUGAAAUAGGACGUUCGAU